AGGAGCCGUGUGAGAUGAAAGUCUCAUACACGGUUUUGAAUGAGAGAAAGAAGUGAGGAACUGGAGUUACAUCUCUUUUCUAU
rnacentral:ncRNA from 1 species